CGGCGGCGUUGGCGCGCGGGCUGCUGGCGCGUCCGGCGCUGGCGGGCACGGGUGCGGCGACGGCGCCCGGCGGGCCGUUGGGGUUCCGCCGGACGUCGU
rnacentral:tRNA from 1 species